AUCGAGAGUUGGUGGUCUUUUUUUAGAAAGCAAAGGACUCAGUUCUUCAGUGACCUGAGAGAGGGGCACCUUUUCAACGGCACUCAUGAGCACAAGUGCUUACUGCGGUAUGUCUUCCUGGACGUCUUGCAGAAAGAGCUUGUUGACUACAAACAACUUUGGAACAACCACACCAUCCGACCUGUUCGUCAAUCUCGUUGUCCAUCUGGCAAACAAGAAGCCAUGUACCACCUCGCUCACAGGUUUGGUGGAAGGGAGUGUGGAUUCCCAGUGCCCCAGGAAGCCCUUCACCAGUU